UGGUGGAGUGAUUUGUCUGGUUAAUUCCGUUAACGAACGAGACCUCGACCUGCUAAAUAGACCCAGCAACCCUUGGCUUCGGCCAAUCCGGGUUGACUCUCUUAAUUUGGGUGCUUCUUAGAGGGACUAUCGGUGUUUCCUAGCCGAUGGAAGUUCGAGGCAAUAACA
rnacentral:rRNA from 1 species